CCUCCCUGUUGUUAAAUUUCCGGUAUGGAUUUUUAACAUUGGUCCCCACAGUCUUUGUUUCUGAGGGAAGCAAGCUGCUUUAUUUAAACUGCCACAGAAUCUCAUUCUAGUUUAACGUGUGCUCCAAGGAAGUAACCGUCCAGAUGGCCAGAGAACGGUGACCGAGGCGGGUGCACACGUACCGUCGCCAUGUUGUUCCAGAGGGCGCCCGGCAGAGCGGAGGGCUGGGUGCCGAGGCGCCUUCUGUCCUCCUGAGAAGGCAUGAUGGCGGGCUGCCUUCCUCGGAGCAGGUCACUGUAGAUCCGUCUGGUGUACCGCCACCUCAGAGAGAUGGUUAACUAAGAUGGUUACGUACUAGUUCACUGGGAAACGCAGACUAGGGUAUCCUUUGAGAAAGUUCUGGGUUUGAGUGGCUUUGAGAGGAAAAUCUCCAGCAGGGGAUGAAAGCACCUAAUUGAAGAACGGAGUCCGUGGUCCAUGCAGCGCCUGGGGCACCUUGAGGCAUCAGGAGAAGCGCUCUGCGCAGACUCCUCGCAGGUGCCCCCGUGUCCCUCUGUGGCUCUCUGCAUUGCACUGUCCUCAGCCUCAGAGUGCCUGCAGGAUGUCCAUGAAGCUGAGCCCUGACCCAGGUGGAGUCAGGAGGCACCCCCAGCUGCACUGGCCGCCUCCACCAGGGGCUCUCUUACUGCACAGCAUGUCCAUAACUCUGUGAUUGGUGUCACAGGCCAGCUGAGAGCUGGUGCUGUCACCUGUUAACAGCCUCUGUGAAGUCUGGGGAGCAGG
rnacentral:lncRNA from 1 species